UUAACUUAAAGUAAUUGACGGAAGGGCACCACCAGGGGUGGAGCCUGCGGCUUAAUUUGACUCAACACGGGGAAACUCACCAGGUCCAGACACGAUGAGGAUUGACAGAUUGAGAGCUCUUUCUUGAUUUCGUGGGUGGUGGUGCAUGGCCGUUCUUAGUUGGUGGAGUGAUUUGUCUGCUUAAUUGCGAUAACGAACGAGACCUUAACCUGCUAAAUAGCCCGCAUUGCUUUGGCAGUGCGCCGGCUUCUAGAGGACUAUCGCUCAAGCCGA
rnacentral:rRNA from 1 species